UUAAGCGACUAAGCGUACACGGUGGAUGCCCUGGCAGUCAGAGGCGAUGAAGGACGUGCUAAUCUGCGAUAAGCGUCGGUAAGGUGAUAUGAACCGUUAUAACCGGCGAUUUCCGAAUGGGGAAACCCAGUGUGUUUCGACACACUAUCAUUAACUGAAUCCAUAGGUUAAUGAGGCGAACCGGGGGAACUGAAACAUCUAAGUACCCCGAGGAAAAGAAAUCAACCGAGAUUCCCCCAGUAGCGGCGAGCGAACGGGGAGCAGCCCAGAGUCUGAAUCAGUGUGUGUGUUAGUGGAAGCGUCUGGAAAGGCGCGCGAUACAGGGUGACAGCCCCGUACACAAAAAUGCACAUGUUGUGAGCUCGAUGAGUAGGGCGGGACACGUGGUAUCCUGUCUGAAUAUGGGGGGACCAUCCUCCAAGGCUAAAUACUCCUGACUGACCGAUAGUGAACCAGUACCGUGAGGGAAAGGCGAAAAGAACCCCGGCGAGGGGAGUGAAAAAGAACCUGAAACCGUGUACGUACAAGCAGUGGGAGCACGCUUAGGCGUGUGACUGCGUACCUUUUGUAUAAUGGGUCAGCGACUUAUAUUCUGUAGCAAGGUUAACCGAAUAGGGGAGCCGAAGGGAAACCGAGUCUUAACUGGGCGUUAAGUUGCAGGGUAUAGACCCGAAACCCGGUGAUCUAGCCAUGGGCAGGUUGAAGGUUGGGUAACACUAACUGGAGGACCGAACCGACUAAUGUUGAAAAAUUAGCGGAUGACUUGUGGCUGGGGGUGAAAGGCCAAUCAAACCGGGAGAUAGCUGGUUCUCCCCGAAAGCUAUUUAGGUAGCGCCUCGUGAAUUCAUCUCCGGGGGUAGAGCACUGUUUCGGCAAGGGGGUCAUCCCGACUUACCAACCCGAUGCAAACUGCGAAUACCGGAGAAUGUUAUCACGGGAGACACACGGCGGGUGCUAACGUCCGUCGUGAAGAGGGAAACAACCCAGACCGCCAGCUAAGGUCCCAAAGUCAUGGUUAAGUGGGAAACGAUGUGGGAAGGCCCAGACAGCCAGGAUGUUGGCUUAGAAGCAGCCAUCAUUUAAAGAAAGCGUAAUAGCUCACUGGUCGAGUCGGCCUGCGCGGAAGAUGUAACGGGGCUAAACCAUGCACCGAAGCUGCGGCAGCGACGCUUAUGCGUUGUUGGGUAGGGGAGCGUUCUGUAAGCCUGUGAAGGUGUGCUGUGAGGCAUGCUGGAGGUAUCAGAAGUGCGAAUGCUGACAUAAGUAACGAUAAAGCGGGUGAAAAGCCCGCUCGCCGGAAGACCAAGGGUUCCUGUCCAACGUUAAUCGGGGCAGGGUGAGUCGACCCCUAAGGCGAGGCCGAAAGGCGUAGUCGAUGGGAAACAGGUUAAUAUUCCUGUACUUGGUGUUACUGCGAAGGGGGGACGGAGAAGGCUAUGUUGGCCGGGCGACGGUUGUCCCGGUUUAAGCGUGUAGGCUGGUUUUCCAGGCAAAUCCGGAAAAUCAAGGCUGAGGCGUGCUGACGAGGCACUACGGUGCUGAAGCAACAAAUGCCCUGCUUCCAGGAAAAGCCUCUAAGCAUCAGGUAACAUCAAAUCGUACCCCAAACCGACACAGGUGGUCAGGUAGAGAAUACCAAGGCGCUUGAGAGAACUCGGGUGAAGGAACUAGGCAAAAUGGUGCCGUAACUUCGGGAGAAGGCACGCUGAUAUGUAGGUGAAGUCCCUCGCGGAUGGAGCUGAAAUCAGUCGAAGAUACCAGCUGGCUGCAACUGUUUAUUAAAAACACAGCACUGUGCAAACACGAAAGUGGACGUAUACGGUGUGACGCCUGCCCGGUGCCGGAAGGUUAAUUGAUGGGGUCAGCGCAAGCGAAGCUCUUGAUCGAAGCCCCGGUAAACGGCGGCCGUAACUAUAACGGUCCUAAGGUAGCGAAAUUCCUUGUCGGGUAAGUUCCGACCUGCACGAAUGGCGUAAUGAUGGCCAGGCUGUCUCCACCCGAGACUCAGUGAAAUUGAACUCGCUGUGAAGAUGCAGUGUACCCGCGGCAAGACGGAAAGACCCCGUGAACCUUUACUAUAGCUUGACACUGAACAUUGAGCCUUGAUGUGUAGGAUAGGUGGGAGGCUUGGAAGUGUGGACGCCAGUCUGCAUGGAGCCGACCUUGAAAUACCACCCUUUAAUGUUUGAUGUUCUAACGUUGACCCGUAAUCCGGGUUGCGGACAGUGUCUGGUGGGUAGUUUGACUGGGGCGGUCUCCUCCUAAAGAGUAACGGAGGAGCACGAAGGUUGGCUAAUCCUGGUCGGACAUCAGGAGGUUAGUGCAAUGGCAUAAGCCAGCUUGACUGCGAGCGUGACGGCGCGAGCAGGUGCGAAAGCAGGUCAUAGUGAUCCGGUGGUUCUGAAUGGAAGGGCCAUCGCUCAACGGAUAAAAGGUACUCCGGGGAUAACAGGCUGAUACCGCCCAAGAGUUCAUAUCGACGGCGGUGUUUGGCACCUCGAUGUCGGCUCAUCACAUCCUGGGGCUGAAGUAGGUCCCAAGGGUAUGGCUGUUCGCCAUUUAAAGUGGUACGCGAGCUGGGUUUAGAACGUCGUGAGACAGUUCGGUCCCUAUCUGCCGUGGGCGCUGGAGAACUGAGGGGGGCUGCUCCUAGUACGAGAGGACCGGAGUGGACGCAUCACUGGUGUUCGGGUUGUCAUGCCAAUGGCACUGCCCGGUAGCUAAAUGCGGAAGAGAUAAGUGCUGAAAGCAUCUAAGCACGAAACUUGCCCCGAGAUGAGUUCUCCCUGACUCUUUGAGGGUCCUGAAGGAACGUUGAAGACGACGACGUUGAUAGGCCGGGUGUGUAAGCGCAGCGAUGCGUUGAGCUAACCGGUACUAAUGAACCGUGAGGCUUAACCUU
rnacentral:rRNA from 1 species